CACAUGCUUCAGUGAUCUGAGAGUGUUUAUAGUGCUGUGAGUUUAACACUUCAUGACUGACAGCAGAACAGAACACAAUCUUCAUCAUCACACAACACAGAACAACAACAAUGACCUUCAGCAUCAUCUUCAUCUGGACACUGACUCUCUGCAUUCAGGAUAUCUCUGGACAAGUGACAGUGACUCAGGAUCCAGCAAUAAAAUCAGUUAAACAAGGAGAAACUGUUCAAAUCAGCUGUAAAACCAGUCAGCCGAUUUCUGGCUGUAGUGACUGUGUUUCUUGGUAUCAUCAGAAACCUGGAGAGACUCCAAAACUCCUGAUCUAUUACAUAAGAAGCCUUUAUACUGGAACUCCAUCUAGAUUCAGUGGCAGUGGAUCAGCCUAUGGAAGUGAUUUCACUCUGACCAUCAGUGGAGUCCAGACUGAAGAUACAGGAGAUUAUUACUGUCAGAGUUAUCACAGUGGUGGAGUGUUCACACAGUGAUAAAGAGUCGUACAAAAACCUCCGUCAGUCAGACUGCACAGUGACUGCACUGAUACAACUGACAGAUACUGCAGCUGCUCAUACAACACAAUCACACACAACACUGAUCAGUGGACAAACAUACUAUGACCUUACAAUAAUAAAUCUUAAUGAAGCUCUUUUUUCUUUUUUUUUUUUUAUGAAAAUGUUUUAUUGAUGUGACCACUACAUAAUUAAAGACUGUUAUUGUUUUAUUAGUAUUUCAUAACAUCAAGCUCUACCUCUCAUAACUACUAAAACUCCAUAAUUAAUUUGAUAGUGUAAUCCUCAUUUUAAUUCAUUUUUGCUCAUGAGAGAAUAAUUGUCCUGAUAUUUUCAUUUGUUUCAUGUAGAGUUCAUCUUUUCUCUUUGUCCUCCUCUUCAUCUUCACUCUUACUGUGUUUCAUCAUCUGUCUGUUCUAUAUGAUGUUCAGUGCUGAUGAGUUUCUCUGUAAAUUAAACACGAUCUUAAACUAGAGUCACGUCCAAACAUGAUCUAAAGCACAACUCUUCAACAGUGAAUGUUUCUCACACAAAACACUCCACAUCUUCAAAUCUCACACCACUGAAUGUUUUAUGUGCAGUUUCACCUCUGUUCUCACUGAUGGACACCAUAUCAAAUCCUAAAACAUUAUGUGACUUCAGAUAUUACACUUACAAACCACUGCAAAUACAUUCAUGAACACAUAAAAAACUCUUAAAAGUGCUCUAUAAAUUAAGUUUGUUAUUGUUGUCAUAUUAUCAACACUCUUCAACAGAGUUAUUCAUCUGUAGACCCUCAGUAAAAGGACAAUGAGGACAAAAUACUUCAUUCAAAUUAGCAUUGUUUCCC